AAUAGAUACCCGGGUAGUCCAUGCCGUAAACGUUGGGCACUAGGUGUGGGGCUCAUUCCACGAGUUCCGUGCCGCAGCAAACGCAUUAAGUGCCCCGCCUGGGGAGUACGGCCGCAAGGCUAAAACUCAAAGGAAUUGACGGGGGCCCGCACAAGCGGCGGAGCAUGCGGAUUAAUUCGAUGCAACGCGAAGAACCUUACCAAGGCUUGACAUGCACGGGAAGCCACCAGAGAUGGUGGUCUCUUUGGACACUCGUGCACAGGUGGUGCAUGGUUGUCGUCAGCUCGUGUCGUGAGAUGUUGGGUUAAGUCCCGCAACGAGCGCAACCCUCGUCCCAUGUUGCCAGCGGGUUAUGCCGGGGACUCAUGGGAGACUGCCGGGGUCAACUCGGAGGAAGGUGGGGAUGACGUCAAAUCAUCAUGCCCCUUAUGUCUUGGGCUUCACGCAUGCUACAAUGGCCGGUACAAAGGGCUGCGAUACCGUAAGGUGGAGCGAAUCCCGAAAAAGCCGGUCUCAGUUCGGAUUGGGGUCUGC
rnacentral:rRNA from 1 species